UACGGAGGGUGCAAGCGUUAUCCGGAUUUACUGGGUUUAAAGGGUGCGUAGGUGGGCCUGUAAGUCAGUGGUGAAAUCUUCGAGCUUAACUCGGAAACUGCCAUUUGAUACUAUAGGUCUUGAAUCAUCUGGAGGUGAGCGGAAUAUGUCAUGUAGCGGUGAAAUGCUUAGAUAUGACAUAGAACACCAUUGCGAAAGGCAGCUCACUACGGAUGUAU
rnacentral:rRNA from 1 species